GACGAACGCUGGCGGCGUGCUUAACACAUGCAAGUCGAGCGGUAAGGCCCUUUCGGGGGUACACGAGCGGCGAACGGGUGAGUAACACGUGGGUGACCUGCCCUCAGCUCUGGGAUAAGCCUGGGAAACCGGGUCUAAUACCGGAUAUGACUCCAUGACGCAUGUUGUGGGGUGGAAAGCCUUGUGCGGCUGAGGAUGGGCCCGCGGCCUAUCAGCUUGUUGGUGGGGUGAUGGCCUACCAAGGCGACGACGGGUAGCUGGCCUGAGAGGCGACCGGCCACACUGGGACUGAGACACGGCCCAGACUCCUAUGGGAGGCAGCAGUGGGGAAUCUUGCGCAAUGGGCGAAAGCCUGACGCAGCGACGCCGCGUGAGGGAUGACGGCCUGGUGU
rnacentral:rRNA from 1 species